CGGACAUUUAACUGACUGAGCCACCCAGGAGCCUCUAAAAGGCAAGCUCCAGGAAUAGGCAGCUGUAAACAUGACAUGCUUUGAGUAGCCUGAUGCAGGAUUUUAGCUGCGGUGUUUUGAUCAAACCUAUUUACACGAUGCCUUGCCAAGUGGAGGAGAGAGCUGCUAAGUGCAUCUAAUUCAUCAGCACGAUGACACUCUUAUCUCUAAGCCAUGUACUUUCUUCCAGGAUGACUGAUAGCUCCACGAAGGUGAAGACUGUAUCUCUCUCAUCAUUUCAGCCAACAAGGAAAGAAAUCAGUGGUGGUAGGAGAAUGGCAGCUGAGUGCAUCAAAUCGACAUAAUUUUUUUGAGUUGAAGAAAUUUUACUGUCACGUCAACUGUGGCUUCCUUAAACUUAACGUCUCAGAACAAUCUAAUGGCUUGUUAUCUUGGUCACAGGCCACAGGCAUCUCCUGGCAGUGAGGUCCCUUUAAAUCCCUGGAAGGGACUUUGCAAUUAAUGGACAAGGUAUAUCUCA